CGUACACUCCUACGGGAGGCAGCAGUGGGGAAUAUUGCACAAUGGGCGCAAGCCUGAUGCAGCCAUGCCGCGUGUAUGAAGAAGGCCUUCGGGUUGUAAAGUACUUUCAGCGGGGAGGAAGGCGAUAAGGUUAAUAACCUUGUCGAUUGACGUUACCCGCAGAAGAAGCACCGGCUAACUCCGUGCCAGCAGCCGCGGUAAUACGGAGGGUGCAAGCGUUAAUCGGAAUUACUGGGCGUAAAGCGCACGCAGGCGGUCUGUCAAGUCGGAUGUGAAAUCCCCGGGCUCAACCUGGGAACUGCAUUCGAAACUGGCAGGCUAGAGUCUUGUAGAGGGGGGUAGAAUUCCAGGUGUAGCGGUGAAAUGCGUAGAGAUCUGGAGGAAUACCGGUGGCGAAGGCGGCCCCCUGGACAAAGACUGACGCUCAGGUGCGAAAGCGUGGGGAGCAAACAGGAUUAGAAACCCUUGUAGUCCCAUGAU
rnacentral:rRNA from 1 species